GGAUGCGUUCAUACCAGCACUAACGCAUCGGAUCCCAUCAGAACUCAGAAGUUAAGCGUGCUUGGGAUAGAGUGGUACUAGGAUAGGUAACCCCCUGGGAAGUCCUCGUGCUGCAUCCC
rnacentral:rRNA from 1 species